UUAUAUCUUUUUUAUUUGCUGAAUUAAUACUGAAGGAAGAUCCGAUUUGUAUAGACUUUUUGCAAGUGAUGACGCAGAAAGAAACUUAAGAGAAAAAAGCCGAA